GAAGAAAUUCGGGGCGUGUUCGUAGCAGAUGUCUCGUGUAGCUCCCGAUAAGCUAGGCUCAUCACCAAGACUCACCACUUACAUUAAGGGUCGCACUCACUCGGGAACAGCCAAGGCAUUAAAAGAAUUUUCUGCAAUCACACCAAUUCCGUGAUUCCGGUAAUUGUACUACAAUGUUCCGGACGUCAUCACUACUCCGAAACAUCUGUUCCAAGAACGUUUACUCCGGCCUAGCUGACCUUACACCCGUAGUCUGUUGUAUCGAGAGAAUAAGCUGCGUCGGUUAGGCGUUACCCUUGGCAACUGAUCAUCCGCUCUGUCCGCACAAACUGCACCAGGACAACAGUUCUUGGAACAUCAAUUAUUGAAACCCAUAUUGCUGAAUGAUAAGAGCUAAACAAGACUAGCACCUCCUCAAUAAAAGUGAAAAUUGACGAAAAGGUUUUCCCAACUGCUGUGUGCUGCCUUAUCAUCCCCCUCAGUAACCCAAACGCAUUUCGGGUUCGUAACACGUUGGAAAAAACGUGCAAGCGAUUGCUCUUAGCGGUUACUCUUACCAACUGAUUAUCCGCUUAGCUGUUUACCAACGCUCCGCUUUGCUGAAUGGAAAACGCCCAACAUUUGUCUAAGUGGGUAAGCUAACUUUAAAUUUUUUUUUUUUUUUUAAUUAAGUUACGUUGAAAACCAAUUUAGUUUUUUUUAUAUCCACCCGAAAACGAUUUCACCUCGACAACGUAUCAAUUUGCCUAUCCAUCCCGCAAUCCAUGUUUCAACUCCCACAAGAGUUUUGGGGGCUCUUUUGUUUCCCCCCAACUACUUUAUUGCGGAGCCGUUAUAGUCCCUUUUAGUAGUAAUCCGAACGCAUUGUGGGCUGGCAACUUGUCGCUUCCGUUGGCUGUUCCGGAGACCAAAAGUAAUGAAGUAGAACGAGUUGCUAUAGACUUCAAGAUGAGAAUUGCUACGGUUUGAU